UACGGGGGGAGCAAGCGUUGUUCGGAUUUACUGGGCGUAAAGGGCGCGUAGGCGGCCUCUGCAAGUCGACUGUGAAAUCUCCGGCUUAACCCGGAAAGGUCAGCCGAUACUGCAGGGCUAGAGUGCAGAAGGGGCAACUGGAAUUCUCGGUGUAGCGGUGAAAUGCGUAGAUAUCGAGAGGAGCACCUGCGGCGAAGGCGGGUUGCGUGGGCUGACACUGACGCUGAAGUGACGAAGCUAGGGGAGCGAACGGG
rnacentral:rRNA from 1 species